rnacentral:rRNA from 1 species
CUUCGGGAGCUGAAGAGUGGCGGACGGGUGAGUAACGCGUAGGAAUCUGCCUCAUAGUGGGGGACAACUUGGGGAAACUCAAGCUAAUACCGCAUACGCCCUACGGGGGAAAGCGGGGGACCUUCGGGCCUCGCGCUAUGAGAUGAGCCUGCGUUAGAUUAGCUAGUUGGUGGGGUAAAGGCCUACCAAGGCGACGAUCUAUAGCUGGUCUGAGAGGACGAUCAGCCACACUGGGACUGAGACACGGCCCAGACUCCUACGGGAGGCAGCAGUGGGGAAUAUUGGACAAUGGGCGCAAGCCUGAUCCAGCAAUACCGCGUGUGUGAAGAAGGCCUUCGGGUUGUAAAGCACUUUCAAUUGGGAGGAAAACCUACCGGUCAAUACCCGGUAACUUGACAUUACCUUUAGAAGAAGCACCGGCUAACUCCGUGCCAGCAGCCGCGGUAAUACNGAAGGUGCAAGCGUUAAUCGGAAUUACUGGGCGUAAAGCGUGCGUAGGCGGUUCGUUAAGUCAGAUGUGAAAGCCCCGGGCUCAACCUGGGAACUGCAUUUGAAACUGGCGGACUAGAGUUUAGUAGAGGGGAGUGGAAUUUCAGGUGUAGCGGUGAAAUGCGUANAUAUCUGAAGGAACACCAGUGGCGAAGGCGACUCCCUGGACUAAAACUGACGCUGAGGUACGAAAGCGUGGGUAGCAAACAGGAUUAGAUACCCUGGUAGUCCACGCCGUAAACGAUGUCGACUAACCGUUGGUCCUUUAUACAGGAUUAGUGGCGCAGCUAACGCAUUAAGUCGACCGCCUGGGGAGUACGGCCGCAAGGUUAAAACUCAAAUGAAUUGACGGGGGCCCGCACAAGCGGUGGAGCAUGUGGUUUAAUUCGAUGCAACGCGAAGAACCUUACCUACCCUUGACAUCCAUAGAAUC